rnacentral:rRNA from 1 species
UACGUAGGGGGCAAGCGUUGUCCGGAAUUAUUGGGCGUAAAGAGCGUGUAGGCGGCCAAGUAGGUCUGCUGUGAAAACUCGAGGCUCAACUUCGAGAUGUCGGCGGAAACCAUUUGGCUAGAGUCCGGAAGAGGAGAGUGGAACUCCGAGUGUAGAGGUGAAAUUCGUAGAUAUUCGGAAGAACACCAGUGGCGAAGGCGGCUCACUGGCCCGGUACUGACGCUGAGGUGCGAAAGCGUGGGGGAGCAAACAGGGAAUUAA